GAUGAACGCUGGCGGCGUGCCUAAUACAUGCAAGUCGAGCGAAAAGACGUGGAGCUUGCUUCACUGGCGUUAGAGGCGGAAGGAUUAGUUACACAUGGACAACCUCCCUAUGGGUCUGGGAUCACUUCCUUUGCUCAUAGCUCAUACCAGCUACGAUAUUAAACCGGAUAGUUCAAUAGUGUAAGCCGGCUUUGCUGUCGCUGAUAGAUUGGUCCGUGCCGGAUUAGGUAGUUGGUAAGGUAACCGCUUACCAAGGCAACGAUGCGUAGCAGACCUGAGAGGGUGAUCGGCCACACUGGAACUGAGACACGGCCCAGACUCCUACGGGAGGCAGCAGUAGGGAAUCUUGGGCAAUGGGCGAAAGCUUGACCCAGCAAUGCCGCGUGAGUGAUGAAGGUCUUCGGAUUGUAAAACGCUGUUGUUAGGAAAGAACAAAUGUGUAAGUAACAAGGCGGGUCUUGACGGUACCGAAAGAGAAAGCAACGGCUAACUACGUG
rnacentral:rRNA from 1 species